rnacentral:rRNA from 1 species
GAUGAACGCUGGCGGCGUGCCUAAUACAUGCAAGUCGAGCGAACGGACGAGAAGCUUGCUUCUCUGAUGUUAGCGGCGGACGGGUGAGUAACACGUGGAUAACCUACCUAUAAGACUGGGAUAACUUCGGGAAACCGUAGCUAAUACCGGAUAAUAUUUUGAACCGCAUGGUUCAAAAGUGAAAGACGGUCUUGCUGUCACUUAUAGAUGGAUCCGCGCUGCAUUAGCUAGUUGGUAAGGUAACGGCUUACCAAGGCAACGAUGCAUAGCGGACCUGAGAGGGUGAUCGGCCACACUGGAACUGAGACACGGUCCAGACUCCUACGGGAGGCAGCAGUAGGGAAUCUUCCGCAAUGGGCGAAAGCCUGACGGAGCAACGCCGCGUGAGUGAUGAAGGUCUUCGGAUCUUAAAACUCUGUUAUUAGGGAAGAACAUAUGUGUAAGUAACUGUGCACAUCUUGACGGUACCUAAUCAGAAAGCCACGGCUAACUACGUG